AAUCAUAUUUAAUUACUAGACAAUUGUUAAAUCACAAUUCAUUUUAUUAUUAUCGGACACGCUGAUCAAACUUCAAUCAUAUUUUUUGGUGUGUUUACUUAAUUUCUUUUUUUCUGUUUAUUUUUUUAUUUUUUAGAAAAAAAAAACUGCCGAGGAUUAGCUACUGAGCGAUUACAAUCUAUGCGGUGAAGAUUAUUAUCCUCGACGGUAUACAGUUAAUCGGCAAAGAGAAAAUCCUUUCAGCGAACAUUCACCUCUCGCUACAAAACUGCCGUCGGAGCUAAACAACCCACUUUCAUUGUGCUCGUUGUAUAGGUUCUGGAAUUUUAUUUUUGGUCAGGGAAUUUUGAAAUUAGCGUUCAGUUGUCACCCUGGAUGCAUAAAAAAUACAUAGCUUAAAAUAUAAAAAAAAUAUAUAUGAAAAUCGGGCAAAAGUGAGAUACUGUAUUUUGUUUUUGAUUCUUAAUAAUAACACGAAGGACAAUAUAAAAACAGAAAAAGAAGAUGAAGAUUGUGUAUGCGAUUCAUUUUGACCUCGAUUUGGAUGGACGAUACUUUGGUGAGAGGCUUCCAGGAGAUAGUAGGCCAUCAUCCAAGACUAACUAUAGCAAGGUGUUUAUCCACUUAUACAUCCAAGUAAACUGAGACAAAAGUAAACAGCUCUGUUGCCAAGUGAAACAGUUUGAUCUUAAUGAAAUUUCACAAGUCUACUUUUUUAUAUUUUAUAUUUUAUUCCUAAUUACUCACUUAAUUGCCGUACAGUUAGGUGAUAAAAAAUAAAGAUAUUAAAUUAGGGGUGUGCGAAUAUCGUUCGAAUCGAAUAUUGAUAUUCGAUUCGAAAUUCGACGAAUAAUUCAAACAAUUCGCGAAUCAUCGAAAUAUUACUGGAUUUUUUAUUGUUUCCAAUUUGAAUUAUUCUAUAGCUAAUAUUUAUAAUAACGUUUAAUGCGCAAUCACUGUAACAUUUACGGGGCUUUCUUUAAAAAAUGAAUAGUAAUUGACACGAAGAAAAAAAUUAAAAAUGAGCAUUGAAAGUUUCAGUUAAAGUAAUUGCAGGUCUGAUAAGUGAAGUUGAAAUCUGUCUAGCUUAAAGUGCGACGAAUUUUCCGUUAAUACAAAUUUUUUCCGUGACAUCUAUUUUAUAUAGAAAACUAUAAAAUCGACCGCGCUUCUCCCUUUGUAUCUCAAAAAAAGUUAAUAAUUAAGAAAUGACGUUGUAUUUUGUCUACUGAUGAUAUUUUUAAUGAUAUAAGCUUAUCCUGGGGUUACACUUAUUGAGAUCCAUCAUUUAAA